GCCCGGCGCGGCGCGCGCGGCGGCUGCAGGGGGACGUGAGGCCCGUGAGGUCGAUGGCAGGGAUGCGGUGUCGCGCAGAGGCUGCAAGGGGCUCACAGCGACAGCAGCUCCGCGCUCGUCCGGAUGCUCUGGUGAGCGCCCGCCGCUGUCAGCAACUUUCCCGUCUGAAAAAUAACAAUACAGUCGUUCUGGGGCAUUUGCCACAUGGCUGCAUCAGUGCAGGAGUACAUUCGGAUGAGGUUUGGAGAUGAAAUCAUUCGUUCCUUCCUAAACCAAACAGGAUUCGUAAUCCUUCUCCAGUUAUAGCAUAACUUGCAGGAGUGACCAAUAAACAGCCCCGAGCUUUAAUUUCA